UAGCACCUCACCAUGGGGGAGGACGUAUUCAUAUGCCUUCACCAGUACCUGCAUUAAACAUGCAGAGAGUUACACAAGGAACGGCAGUCCCCCCUCGACUCCCUCAACAUGUGGCAGACAGAGGAGCCUGGAUCCCGCCUGGCCUACAGGCCAACAUGGCGUGGGGGAAGAAUGGCCGACAACAUUUCCUGCUCUGCGGCUGAGGUCCAGAUCCUUAGCCUGGUGGAAACUAUUAAACACACCCAAGACCAGCUGAUGGGGAAGGUCAACUUCUUAACCAGCAGGUUGACCAGUACCCCGGGGCCAGAAGUGGAAAUGCC